ensembl:lncRNA
CUUUCUACUAUACCAAAUUACUUGUCCAAGUUACCAACUAAUUUAUGAAGCACUUCCUAUCUUCAAGGGGAGAGGUAGCAUGAGAUAGCCAAUAGAGAGCAGGCCUGGGUCAAGUUCAUAUCACCUGCAUAACUUUUAGGGAGUUCUAUAAGAGUAUCAGUUAUAAAGAAGUCACUCAUUUGUAUUAGUGAAGAGAUUUUCUACAUCAGGAUUUCCCUUCCCCAGGUGAAAUUCCAGGCUGGUCAGACAAAAGAAAAUGUGCCUGGCACUAUCCCCAGCAUAGACAUGGACAAAAAGAAAGCAGUUUUGCCCUUGAAGAUCUUACAUUCUUCUGGGAGGAUAAAACAUGUCCGCAGGAAUGAUCCUGAUGAACUGGCAAGCAUCCAAUGGAGGUUCCUGUCUGAUGAGGAUCACCUGCAGGAGAGAGACUGUCCUUCUACACUCACCCAGGAUGCCAAUGAACUGAGACACCCACCCCCAUGCUGCGCUUCCAACCUUUCUCUUUGCUCACACUCUGGAGAAAGCAUUUACAUUCCUUUGCAUCAACUCUUGAUGAUUGUUUCCUAAAGAAUCUUUGGGUUCCCAUCAGAUUCCUUUACAAAGACUUGCUAAGGUGAGAAAUCCAAAUGGGAGCUUCUGGAAGUGAAAGACUUGCUUGAAACAUUCAGAGAUGAUGCAGAGGACUUUGGAGCUGCAGCACUGCUGCGAUUUUUCUGGGAAGAAUUUAGAAGUUUCUGACUGCUGCCUAGCAGUGACAACUUUGAGGACUUUUCCUAGGAUCAAGAGGAAGGUUGCACACUUCUAGCAAGAAACCUGCCUUCUGCAUCUUGGCCACUCCUCCAUUGACUUUCUGAUGCUGUCUAGUCCAACCCCUUUAGUUUACAGGAAGGAAACUGAGGCCUCAGGAGGCUAAGCAGUCACACAGGUAGGAAGUAUCAGAAGCUGGAAGAUGCUAGAAAGAGGUUGUUCAGUUUUACAAACACUGCUGGCAUUGCAUCACAUACCCCAAAUGGCAUGACAUCCACAUAGAACUGUGCUCCACAAAUGUGAUACCAGGGGGACAGAGGCCCCAGGGAUGUCUACAUUGGCUUGAUGAUUUUGUGAGGCCUCAGGGAUAGAGGAUGCCAUUGACCGUUGCAUGGCCCAGUUUGCUCUCUGAAUGAUGGAAUCACUGGAAGAAAGCAGUGAUCAAGGUGGAGUAUAGGGCAGAGAUGAUGCCACACAUGGAUAAGUUUGUGGCCCCAUUCUUGACCCAUACUCAUAGUCAAAGAACUACCAUAGGAAAUAUUGUUUCAUUAGAAGUUUGAUCUAUUGAGGUUAGGGGUGGUGCAUUGGAAGCAAUGGAGAUUGGGAGACAAACAUGGGAUUUGAACCGGAGUUCAAAUUCUGCUCCCUAAUUACUUGCUAGCUAUGUGACCUUGGAUAAGAUGGAGCUUCACUUUCCUCAUUUGUGAAAUGAAGAAUGUGGCCUAAGACCAUUUUCAUCACUAAAGCUAUAAUACUGUAUUCACCGACUUACAUGAUUUAGACAAGAUUUAGGCAAGGUCUGAGACCAUUUUGAAGAAAU